GGAGGGAAGGUGGGGAUGACGUCAAAUCAUCAUGCCCCUUAUGAUUUGGGCUACACACGUGCUACAAUGGACAAUACAAAGGGCAGCUAAACCGCGAGGUCAUGCAAAUCCCAUAAAGUUGUUUUCAGUUCGGAUUGUAGUGUGCAACUCGACUACAUGAAGCUGGAAUCGCUAGUAAUCGUAGAUCAGCAUGCUACGGUGAAUACGUUCCCGGGUCUUGUACACACCGCCCGUGCACCCCGAGAGUUUUACACCCGGAGCCGGUG
rnacentral:rRNA from 1 species